CUUGUCGAGCAGAUAUAUAUAUAUAUAUAUAUAUAUAGACUCUGCCAAAUUUGCCUUCUCCAAGCGGCAUCCCGAUCUCGAAAUAUGUUAGGGUCCAUUGCUUCUCUCUGUAUCUCCACCAUCACAUUUUGUCGAUUUCUCUCACUCAUUUUUUUUUGUUGCCGAUCACAGUACUAGCACUUUUUACUGGUAAGAGACCACAGCGAGAAGGAAAGUAAAAAAACUUUUAAGGAAUUCAAAAGGUCUCCCUUCAACGCAACGUUUCGUAAAUUUCUUUUUUUAAUUCCCAAGGAGAGUUCACAACCCUUUUAUUAAAUGACGAAUUUACCCUCCUUACGAUCUUUCACUGUAAUCAAUCAAGAGCACUUGUGUUUUUUUUUUUACAAAGGUGAUUAAGAUUCCACUCACUCUCACCCUCGAAUUAACCCCAAUUCGAGAUACAUGAACAAGAAAGAAGAAGAAGAAGUAGAAGAGAAGAAAUAACCCAAAAAAAACCAGAACUCUCUCACUAGCUCUCUGUUUCAAUCUCAUCUCUAUCUCUAGAGACUAGACUCUCUCUCGAAGAACGGAAGAAGAAGAUGAAUCUUUUAAUCUUCUCGUCUUGUGUGUUCUUCUCUCUCUAUAUAAGAAAUCUCUUUUACAUGAAGCGGCAUCGUCCUGUCUCUUUUAGCCUCUUGUCACGUGUACCCCCACGUGUCUCUUCUUAUCAGUUAUUUCAUACGAGAUCCUCUCUUUCCAACAGCAGCUUUCUCUCCUAAAGCUUCUCUCUUUUGCAGUCUUAUUUCUUUCAUGUAAAUUUAGCUUAUUAUUACCAAGAAGAUAAUUAGUGUUUUUUCAUGAGUGAUAUAUUGAUGUUGGAUGUCUAUGCAAGUUGAAUACAACUGUGUAUCACUUUAUCUUAUAUAUUAUUAUCACGAGUUUUUAGAGAGUUGGUUGUCUUCUCUGCUAGAUUCAAAUUAUCCUUUGGGUAACAAAUUAUUCAAUGGAGUUCUAACACUGCGCCUUCACAUGCCAGAUUCGAGAAAGAAAAGGGAAUUUGCAGCACGGUGGAAGAACAAGUUGAGUAAUAAUAAUAAGACUAACGGUUAAAUGUCUAUGGUCUGUAUCCUUAUGAUACUGCUCGAGCCGUUAAAAGGCACUUCUGGAAGCAUGAGGAUCUUUCCUAUAGGACGUACCUCUGUUUCCUUGAUUUCUAAGGAGACAGGCCCCUUAACCCUGGUUGAUGAACCACGACCGUGCGACCAGAGCGUUAUUGAUGGCCAACGAUAGUCUUAGGACGCAUCUGAUGCUGUCGAGGAUCGUUACUCGGCUCGGUUCUACCUGGCCGGGGUGUUCGCACGGUGGUCUGACAGAUCAUAAAAACCUAGAAAUAAAAGAACCAGCCAUACCAUGUCAAUAUCUUCCAUGACUCGUUGGAACAAAGAAGCUGGAGGUAUCCAGAUGGCAAUUGCAUUUGUUGCAACAAACCUUGUUGCAUUUUGUUUGAUCAGAGGCAGUUGAGUUUGACAAACCAAAGCCUAUGCUGGUCUGGUUGCAGUUAGUUAUUGUUCCUAGAGGCGUAUAUAGAUUGCAGGAGCAUUGUCUUUCUCUUUUAGUGUUAAACACGAGAGACAUAUUGUGGAUA